UGCUAAAGCAACUUGAUGAGUUUGAGAUGCUGUUCUGGAGCAGAGAUUUCAUUUUCAUAUCCUUGUCUGGGUGGUGAAGUUGGUGUCAGCUGCUGAUAAAUUUUGCCAUAUUUUUACUCAUGUCCCAACUCAUUUUUGUUGGGGAUGAUCAUUUGACCCUGUUAGUGAAGUGUGUGAAAUAAAAUGCUCUUUCAAUGUAAUCUAUGGCAUAUUCAUGCUCCUCAUUAAAUGAGAUGCUGUUUUAUUCUUGUUUUGCACUAUUGCUUAUGCAUUUUGAGUUCAAGUAUUAGACCCUAGACUUUGUAUUU
rnacentral:misc_RNA from 1 species